AAACCAGCAUCCAAACAAACCUCAAAGGGACAAUAGCUUAGGGAGACAUCAACCUUCUUUGAGGUGAUGUGUGGAAGAUGGUUGGGGACACUGGAAGAGACACAGAGUGAUGCAGGGACUGUGUUAAUUCAUCGUCUGUACCUUGCUGCUAGAGAAAGCCACACUUGGAAUUCACCAGGAAACUAGGAUCUCCAGGAGUCUCAAUCCUGGCUUCCUGGCAGCCAGUACUUUUUCUUCUUCAAUUCAAUUAAAUCAGUCCUAAUGAGUGGGUCUAUAGAAUGGAAGCUCCUGUUUGCAGAGCCCAGGGAAUGAUAACCAGCCAACAUUAAUGAGGAUGGUCACUGAAAAUGAGAAAACUUGAUUCUCCCACCCAGGCAGCAGGUAGAGUUCUGGUUUCAGGCAUCAAGGUUCAGACUUGUAGCUCAUAGUCUCCUUUGCAGUGAGAGACAUUUAGCAACAGAGCUCCUGGGCUUUUCCUAUGUCCUGACUCCUCUCAGUUCGGCCAUGCUCGAUCCGUGAUUCCUCUGGCUGCCUCACUACAGAAGUCUCUCAAUAAACAGAAGCAACCGCAUUUUAACGGAGAUGGUCCAUUGUGAUGACAGUGGGUUUCUGGAAAACUCUGCAGGGCUCCCAGGAUGACUCAUCAGCCUCUUGUCAGACGUCAUUUCUUCCUCAGCCGCUUUUGGAGCAGAUCCCCUCCUCUUACUGCUUGACAAGCUGAAGUGGUUUACUGGGUUUUGGACAAGGGGAAGUGGAAGUGCUUGGGUAGUGUUUGUGGGGACAGGGCAGGGAGAUGCGAGAUGUCUUGGGCACUUGGGUAAUUAUGAGCAGAGGCUUAGUUUUCCAUUUGCCAAGAGAGUUUUCUCUCUCUCUCUCUUAGGCAAACAUGCGUGAAUGGGGAAGAACUAUCUGGAGGACAGCAGUAGUUAGAUAGUAAAGGCAGACACACUGGGCCUGUAACUCAGAGCAGUUCGAUUUCU
rnacentral:lncRNA from 1 species